rnacentral:lncRNA from 1 species
UAAAAAAUAUUGCCCCCGCUUUGCAACUUCUUUUCAUACUCCUACUUGAUUUGUAAAAUAGCAAUAAAUGGGCAGCAAAUUCCAUGGAACUCCUCGACUAUCACAAGUUUACUUGGACACCUUCAGAUGUGCUAAUGCGGCGAGCACUGCUAGGAAGGCGUCGGCGUGCUCCGGCCUGACGCAGGCCGACAUGACGCCGACCCCGUCCUUGCC